rnacentral:rRNA from 1 species
AGAGUUUGAUCCUGGCUCAGAUUGAACGCUGGCGGCAGGCCUAACACAUGCAAGUCGGGCGGUAGCACGGGGGAGCUUGCUCCCUGGGUGACGAGCGGCGGACGGGUGAGUAAUGUCUGGGAAACUGCCUGAUGGAGGGGGAUAACUACUGGAAACGGUAGCUAAUACCGCAUAACCUCGCAAGAGCAAAGAGGGGGACCUUCGGGCCUCUCGCCAUCAGAUGUGCCCAGAUGGGAUUAGCUAGUAGGUGAGGUAAUGGCUCACCUAGGCGACGAUCCCUAGCUGGUCUGAGAGGAUGACCAGCCACACUGGAACUGAGACACGGUCCAGACUCCUACGGGAGGCAGCAGUGGGGAAUAUUGCACAAUGGGCGCAAGCCUGAUGCAGCCAUGCCGCGUGUGUGAAGAAGGCCUUCGGGUUGUAAAGCACUUUCAGCGGGGAGGAAGGCGGUGAGGUUAAUAACCUCAUCGAUUGACGUUACCCGCAGAAGAAGCACCGGCUAACUCCGUGCCAGCAGCCGCGGUAAUACGGAGGGUGCAAGCGUUAAUCGGAAUGACUGGGCGUAAAGCGCACGCAGGCGGUCUGUUAAGUUGGAUGUGAAAUCCCCGGGCUUAACCUGGGAACUGCAUUCAAAACUGACAGGCUAGAGUCUUGUAGAGGGGGGUAGAAUUCCAGGUGUAGCGGUGAAAUGCGUAGAGAUCUGGAGGAAUACCGGUGGCGAAGGCGGCCCCCUGGACAAAGACUGACGCUCAGGUGCGAAAGCGUGGGGAGCAAACAGGACUAGAUACCCUGGUAGUCCACGCUGUAAACGAUGUCGAUUUGGAGGUUGUGCCCUUGAGGCGUGGCUUCCGGAGCUAACGCGUUAAAUCGACCGCCUGGGGAGUACGGCCGCAAGGUUAAAACUCAAAUGAAUUGACGGGGGCCCGCACAAGCGGUGGAGCAUGUGGUUUAAUUCGAUGCAACGCGAAGAACCUUACCUACUCUUGACAUCCAGAGAACUUAGCAGAGAUGCUUUGGUGCCUUCGGGAACUCUGAGACAGGUGCUGCAUGGCUGUCGUCAGCUCGUGUUGUGAAAUGUUGGGUUAAGUCCCGCAACGAGCGCAACCCUUAUCCUUUGUUGCCAGCGAUUCGGUCGGGAACUCAAAGGAGACUGCCGGUGAUAAACCGGAGGAAGGUGGGGAUGACGUCAAGUCAUCAUGGCCCUUACGAGUAGGGCUACACACGUGCUACAAUGGCGUAUACAAAGAGAAGCGAUCUCGCGAGAGCAAGCGGACCUCAUAAAGUACGUCGUAGUCCGGAUUGGAGUCUGCAACUCGACUCCAUGAAGUCGGAAUCGCUAGUAAUCGUAGAUCAGAAUGCUACGGUGAAUACGUUCCCGGGCCUUGUACACACCGCCCGUCACACCAUGGGAGUGGGUUGCAAAAGAAGUAGGUAGCUUAACCUUCGGGAGGGCGCUUACCACUUUGUGAUUCAUGACUGGGGUGAAGUCGUAACAAGGUAACCGUAGGGGAACCUGCGGUUGGAUCACCU